GCAAACUUGGUCAUUUAGAGGAAGUAAAAGUCGUAACAAGGUUUCCGUAGGUGAACCUGCGGAAGGAUCAUUAACAGUAAUGGGACCUCGGUCCCGCCGGCUGAUUAAUUUCAGGCUUGAUACGACGGCCGCGGGGAGGUCUUCCCCCCUGCGGUCGUACGGCAAGCUUUCCACCCUUUGUGAAACACCCCGGUUGCUUGAGGCAGCGCGUCGGUCCCCUCCCCGCCCGCUUCGGCGCGGCGGCAGGUCCGACGGUGAGCCUGCCGACGGCACAUUGCAAAACCCAUUCUUGAAAUGAAGCACACGAGACGUCUGAGCGCGAAGUCGAAUUGACUAUAAAACUUUCAACAACGGAUCUCUUGGUUCCCGCAUCGAUGAAGAACGCAGC
rnacentral:misc_RNA from 1 species